GACGAACGCUGGCGGCGUGCUUAACACAUGCAAGUCGAACGGCAAGGCCCUGCUUUUGUGGUGUGCUCGAUUGGCGAACGGGUGAGUAACACGUGAGUAACCUGCCCUUGACUUUGGGAUAACUUCAGGAAACUGGGGCUACUACCGUAUAGGAGCUCCUGCUGCAUGGUGGGGGUUGGAAAGUUUCGGCUGUUGGGGAUGGAUUCGCGGCUUAUCAGCUUGUUGGUUGGGUAGUGGCUUACCAAGGCUUUGACGGGUAGGCGGCAUGAGAGGGUGACCGGCGACAUGGGGACUGAGAGACGGCCCAGACUCCUACGGGAGGCAGUAGGGGGGAAUAUGGCACAAUGGGCGGAAGCCUGAGGCAGAGACGUCGCGGGCGGGAUGACGGCCUGCGGGUUGUAAACAGCUGUCGCCUGUGACGAAGCGUGAGUGACGGUAAUGGGUAAAGAAGCACCGGCUAACUACGUG
rnacentral:rRNA from 1 species